GAUCUUUAUAGGCUUCGGGAGGCUAGACACAGUAUACACAACAGUUUUAACUGAUCCUAAAAGCGCUUCUCAUAAAUUUUAAGAUCUGAAGUAUCAUUGAACUUUUAUAAAUCCGUCUCUAGCUAUUUAAAGAUAGGAGCAACGAUAUUCUUGUUUCUCAUGAUUCAUGAGAGUUUUUGCUGCAUUUAUUUAAUUGCACUUAUAUUUUGCCGGAGAAAGAAUUGUGAUUGAAAUCAAACCAAUUGAUACAAUUAGGAAGUCUUGAAGGAAAAUUUGGGCCUCAUAAUUGCUUUAUCUUUCAUCUACUUUAUUGAAGCUCCUGCAUAAGUUGGCCGUGCAUUCUGAUGCUGUGCCAUUUUGACAAGUCUUUUGUAAGACGCCCAUGGUUGGAGUCUACCAUAGAAUUCUUUGUGCGAUAGUUCAAUUCAUGUGGCCUCGCUGUCUUAUACCUUGGAUUUUCCUUAUUCAUUUGUGUUUUGUUUCCCUGGAAUAGGUUGUGAAAUUUGGGAAUGCAA
rnacentral:misc_RNA from 1 species